CAGCUGAAGUAUACGUCCAAGUGGCCAC
rnacentral:sRNA from 1 species